GACGAACGCUGGCGGCGCGCCUAACACAUGCAAGUCGAACGAGCGAGAGAGAGCUUGCUUUCUCGAGCGAGUGGCGAACGGGUGAGUAACGCGUGAGGAACCUGCCUCAAAGAGGGGGACAACAGUUGGAAACGACUGCUAAUACCGCAUAAGCUCACGGGUCGACAUCGACCAGAGGGAAAAGGAGCAAUCCGCUUUGAGAUGGCCUCGCGUCCGAUUAGCUAGUUGGUGAGGUAAUGGCCCACCAAGGCGACGAUCGGUAGCCGGACUGAGAGGUUGAACGGCCACAUUGGGACUGAGACACGGCCCAGACUCCUACGGGAGGCAGCAGUGGGGAAUAUUGCACAAUGGGGGAAACCCUGAUGCAGCGACGCCGCGUGGAGGAAGAAGGUCUUCGGAUUGUAAACUCCUGUUGUUGAGGAAGAUAAUGACGGUACUCAACAAGGAAGUGACGGCUAACUACGUGCCAGCAGCCGCGGUAAAACGUAGGUCACAAGCGUUGUCCGGAAUUACUGGGUGUAAAGGGAGCGCAGGCGGGAGAACAAGUUGGAAGUGAAAUCCAUGGGCUCAACCCAUGAACUGCUUUCAAAACUGUUUUUCUUGAGUAGUGCAGAGGUAGGCGGAAUUCCCGGUGUAGCGGUGGAAUGCGUAGAUAUCGGGAGGAACACCAGUGGCGAAGGCGGCCUACUGGGCACCAACUGACGCUGAGGCUCGAAAGUGUGGGUAGCAAACAGGAUUAGAUACCCUGGUAGUCCACACCGUAAACGAUGAUUACUAGGUGUUGGAGGAUUGACCCCUUCAGUGCCGCAGUUAACACAAUAAGUAAUCCACCUGGGGAGUACGACCGCAAGGUUGAAACUCAAAGGAAUUGACGGGGGCCCGCACAAGCAGUGGAGUAUGUGGUUUAAUUCGACGCAACGCGAAGAACCUUACCAAGUCUUGACAUCCCUUGACGAUGCUGGAAACAGUAUUUCUCUUCGGAGCAAGGAGACAGGUGGUGCAUGGUUGUCGUCAGCUCGUGUCGUGAGAUGUUGGGUUAAGUCCCGCAACGAGCGCAACCCUUAUGGUCAGUUACUACGCAAGAGGACUCUGGCCAGACUGCCGUUGACAAAACGGAGGAAGGUGGGGAUGACGUCAAAUCAUCAUGCCCUUUAUGACUUGGGCUACACACGUACUACAAUGGCGUUAAACAAAGAGAAGCAAGACCGCGAGGUGGAGCAAAACUCAGAAACAACGUCCCAGUUCGGACUGCAGGCUGCAACUCGCCUGCACGAAGUCGGAAUUGCUAGUAAUCGUGGAUCAGCAUGCCACGGUGAAUACGUUCCCGGGCCU
rnacentral:rRNA from 1 species